rnacentral:miRNA from 1 species
UGUUGUUUUUUUUUUUUUUC